CGGGGGACAACCGUCCGAAAGGAUGGCUAAUACCGCAUACGUCGGCGAGGGCUAUGGUCCUUGUCGGGAAAGAUGGCCUCUCCUUGGAAGCUGUCACUGGAAGAUGAGUCCGCGGCCCAUCAGCUAGUUGGUGAGGUAAUGGCUCACCAAGGCUAUGACGGGUAGCUGGUCUGAGAGGAUGAUCAGCCACACUGGAACUGCGACACGGUCCAG
rnacentral:rRNA from 1 species